CGAGCGAAUGAUGAGGAGCUUGCUCCUCUGAUUUAGCGGCGGACGGGUGAGUAACACGUGGGCAACCUGCCCUGUAGACUGGGAUAACUUCGGGAAACCGGAGCUAAUACCGGAUAAUCCGUUUCACCUCAUGGUGAAAUGUUGAAAGACGCUUUCGGGCGUCACUACAGGAUGGGCCCGCGGUGCAUUAGCUAGUUGGUGGGGUAACGGCCUACCAAGGCGACGAUGCAUAGCCGACCUGAGAGGGUGAUCGGCCACAUUGGGACUGAGACACGGCCCAAACUCCUACGGGAGGCAGCAGUAGGGAAUCUUCCACAAUGGACGAAAGUCUGAUGGAGCAACGCCGCGUGAGUGAUGAAGGUUUUCGGAUCGUAAAACUCUGUUGUAAGGGAAGAACAAGUACGUUAGGAAAUGAACGUACCUUGACGGUACCUUAUUAGAAAGCCACGGCUAACUACGUGCCAGCAGCCGCGGUAAUACGUAGGUGGCAAGCGUUGUCCGGAUUUAUUGGGCGUAAAGCGCGCGCAGGUGGUUUCUUAAGUCUGAUGUGAAAGCCCACGGCUCAACCGUGGAGGGUCAUUGGAAACUGGGAGACUUGAGUGCAGAAGAGGAUAGUGGAAUUCCAAGUGUAGCGGUGAAAUGCGUAGAGAUUUGGAGGAACACCAGUGGCGAAGGCGACUGUCUGGUCUGUAACUGACACUGAGGCGCGAAAGCGUGGGGAGCAAACAGGAUUAGAUACCCUGGUAGUCCACGCCGUAAACGAUGAGUGCUAAGUGUUAGGGGGUUUCCGCCCCUUAGUGCUGCAGCUAACGCAUUAAGCACUCCGCCUGGGGAGUACGACCGCAAGGUUGAAACUCAAAGGAAUUGACGGGGGCCCGCACAAGCGGUGGAGCAUGUGGUUUAAUUCGAAGCAACGCGAAGAACCUUACCAGGUCUUGACAUCCCAGUGACCGCUCUAGAGAUAGAGUUUUCCCUUCGGGGACAUUGUGACAGGUGGUGCAUGGUCGUCAGCUCGUGUCGUGAGAUG
rnacentral:rRNA from 2 species